CCUCUUUCAGCAGGGAAGAAGCGAAAGUGACGGUACCUGCAGAAGAAGCGCCGGCUAACUACGUGCCAGCAGCCGCGGUAAUACGUAGGGUGCAAGCGUUGUCCGGAAUUAUUGGGCGUAAAGAGCUCGUAGGCGGCUUGUCACGUCGGUUGUGAAAGCCCGGGGCUUAACCCCGGGUCUGCAGUCGAUACGGGCAGGCUAGAGUUCGGUAGGGGAGAUCGGAAUUCCUGGUGUAGCGGUGAAAUGCGCAGAUAUCAGGAGGAACACCGGUGGCGAAGGCGGAUCUCUGGGCCGAUACUGACGCUGAGGAGCGAAAGCGUGGGGAGCGAACAGGAUUAGAUACCCUGGUAGUCCACGCCGUAAACGGUGGGCACUAGGUGUGGGCAACAUUCCACGUUGUCCGUGCCGCAGCUAACGCAUUAAGUGCCCCGCCUGGGGAGUACGGCCGCAAGGCUAAAACUCAAAUGAAUUGACGG
rnacentral:rRNA from 1 species